rnacentral:tRNA from 1 species
GCUCGAGUGGCGGAACUGGUAGACGCGCUGGAUUCAAAAUCCAGUGUCUUCGGACGUGCGGGUUCGAUUCCCGCCUCGAGUA